AUUGCUCAAGUUAACGGCGAGUGAAAGCGGCAAAAGCUCAAAUGUGAAAUCCCCCGGGAAUGUGUAAUUUGAAGAGAUUUGGGUCCGGCCGGCAGGGGUUAAGUCCACUGGAAAGUGGCGCCACAGAGGGUGACAGCCCCGUGAACCCCUUCAACGCCCUCAUCCCAGAUCUCCAAGAGUCGAGUGUUUGGGAAUGCAGCUCUAAGUGGGUGGUAAAUUCCAUCUAAAGCUAAAUACCCGCCAGAGACCGAUAGCGAACAAGUACAGUGAUGGAAAGAUGAAAAGCACUUUGAAAAGAGAGUGAAAAAAUACGUUAAUAUUGUUGAAAGGGGAAGGGGCUUUCUCCCCCCUCCU
rnacentral:rRNA from 1 species